rnacentral:lncRNA from 1 species
UUUCUUCCUCUCCUUUUGUUCUUUUGUUUAUCAAUCCUUCUUCCCAUUCUCUAAAACCUAAAAACAAAUUGCUCUUCCUCCGUCGUCCCUAUCUGCCACUGGGCUUUCUACUGCCUCCCUUCACCUCUCAUUUCCUUUUGAACCAAGGUCUGAAGAAACUCCUCCUCCGUCGUCCCUAUCCGUCGCUGGGCUUUCUACCGCCUCCCUUCACCUUUCCUUUCCUUUUGAACCGAGGUUGAAGAAACUCCUCCUCCGUUGUCCCUAUCUGCGGCCAGGCUUUCUACCGCCUCCCUCCAAGUCUCCUUUCCUUUUGAACCGAGGUCUGAAGAAGCUCUAAAAGAUACCAGAACCCGAAGCCAAC